rnacentral:rRNA from 1 species
CGGGGGGCAGCAGUGGGGAAUAUUGGACAAUGGGCGAAAGCCUGAUCCAGCAAUGCCGCGUGGAUGAAGAAGGUCUUCGGAUUGUAAAGUCCUUUCGACGGGGACGAUGAUGACGGUACCCGUAGAAGAAGCCCCGGCUAACUUCGUGCCAGCAGCCGCGGUAAUACGAAGGGGGCUAGCGUUGCUCGGAAUGACUGGGCGUAAAGGGCGCGUAGGCGGUUUGAUUAGUUAGGCGUGAAAUUCCCGGGCUCAACCUGGGAACUGCGUUUAAUACAGUCAGACUUGAGUUCGGAAGAGGGUCGUGGAAUUCCCAGUGUAGAGGUGAAAUUCGUAGAUAUUGGGAAGAACACCGGUGGCGAAGGCGGCGACCUGGUCCGAUACUGACGCUGAGGCGCGAAAGCGUGGGGAGCAAACAGGAUUAGAUACCCCCGU